UUUUAUUUUCCCUUUGCAGCCACAUGCUGCAGUGUGCUCAUACAGAAGCCGACGCUCUGCUGAGUUUGCUUCCUGCAUGGACAGGAACAGGAAGUCACGUGGUGCACAUGUGACUGUGAGAGAGGAGAGGAGCGUGAGGAGCAGUAGCCAGCAGGUCUAUCAGAAAGCCAUACCAUACGGGGGAGCAAAGACUCAGGGAUAAGUACAGAACACUUACCAAAACACUGUUCCUUCAAGUCACAUGACUAUCGGGACCCGGUAGAAGGCGCAGGAGCAAGUGCUGCCACUGGGAGAAUGGGAGAAGAACUAUCCAUGAAGAGUUGUCAGUCUUCUGCUUGAUAUUCUGCCCCUUGCUAGAGACACGGCAGCAGCUCAAAGUGAAAGAUGGCCCCUGACCUACAAUUGCGGCUAAGAAGGAAACAUGAAAAGGCCUCUGCAAAGGAUUUUCCAUGGCUACAUCUACAAGAAUAAGAGGUUGUACCGAGUUGUUUGAAGAAAAAGGCUCACAAUGCAUUAAUGACAAAUGGGGAGAUGCAUCAAACCUUGGAGAGAGAUAAAGUACUGACCUAUCAGCACAUCCCCAUCCUUAGCUCAACCCCAUUGAGAAGUGGCAACUUUAUCAAUGAACAUCAUAUUCAUUGUUCCUAGAUAUGUGUAACAUUUUUUUAUCUAAAUGUCUGAAAAUGCAGAAACCAUCUGAUAGUUUGGGAUUUUUUUAUUUUUUUUUCAUUUGCUUAAAAUAUGCUUUGUAACAUCUGAGUCUCAAUUUAAUAAAAUCUGUUUAGAGCACUACUAUACAAGCAACUGUUACGAAGGCCACCAGGUGGUACAAGGUGAC